AAAUAAUAGUAUUGAUUCAAAUUUAAUUUUUAGUUGUAAUUGUAGUUGUUUUUGUAACACUAAUUCUUAUAGCAUUGUUUGGGAAGGAAGUGCAUUUGGAGCAUUGUUUCUGAUAUAUGUAAUUAUUGUGUUUUUAAUGUUUGUGGUGUUUCUUAAAGCUAAGCAGUGUUAUAUGCGUAGCAAAGAGUUUUAAAAUAAAAUUGUGUUGUAUAAAUUAAGUGUGUAAUCAUUGUGAAAUCAUGCAAUCAGUUAACUACUCCCCCAGCCAGUGCAUCAAAACGAAUCAGUAAAUUGUGUGGGAUUUUCUCUAUUCCAUAACCCACUAGAGACAAUCAGAGUGUAUGCCCAUACUCUUGAUGCCAUUGAUGAAAUCAAGGAGGACUUCUACACCAAUCUUGAUCACGUACAAUCUGAUGUUCCGGAGGGAGACAGACUUAUUUUUCUUGGUGAUUUCAAAGUCAGAAUUAGAAGGGACUCAAACCUCUUGAAUGGAACUAUCAGCAAGGAAGAGUAAAAAAGGUCAGGUUCACUGGCAUCCUCCUCUUGACCAAAUGCACAAACUUGUAUUUACCAUCACCAACACCCUGUUCUACCAGAAAUACAGGUACAAGACAUCAUGGCAACACCCCCAAUCUAAGCAUUGGCACCUGAUUGAUUUUGUUAUUGUUCAUGCUGAGGAUCACAAAGAUGUCUGCAUCAUCUGAGCUAUACUAGUAGCUGACAAUUGCUGGACCAAUCGUUAACUCAUCCACUCAGUUAUGUCACUCAAACUGGAUCCCUGGAUCUGCAGCAGAAACAAUGCCGACAGAAGAUCAACAUCAAAGGACUCAAGGACCCAAUCAAGUGAGACCUCUUCCACCAGUGCCUCAACAAAAAACUCAUGAAUUCCAAACAACAGCAGUGGGAGAAUCCUGGCAGUGCUUGGGGUGCCUUCAAUCUAUCUUCAUCAGUACCUGCGAAGAGACAUUUGGAUUCUCUACCAGAAAAUAUCAAGACUGGUUUGAUGAGAGAGACGAUCCAAGAGUUGAUCAACUGCAAGUGCAAGGCCUUUUGUGCUUGUCAGAAUGACACCAACUCCAAGAAAAAGAAAUUAAAUCUCCAGCAAGCGAAGACAGGGGUUGGACUCUCAAUAUGAAGAACAGAUGGUGGGAAGACAAGGUUAAGGAGAUUCAACAUCUCACUGACAUCCACGAUAUGCACAUUUUUUUCAAUGCCACCAAAGCGAUCUACAGUCCAAACACUCAGGGACAAACCCCCUUGAGACCUAAGACUGGAGGAGACCUGAUCAAGGAAAAGGGAGCCAACCACUCCUAUUGGAAGGAGCAUUUUGAGGACCUCAAACAAGACUGUGUUGUUGAUGAGAGUGUUCUAAACUCCAUCUUUCUAUACCCAGUGAGAGACAAUCUCAGAAGCCCCCCCCAACCCUUGACAAGGUGAGGAAAGCCAUCAAGCAGAUGAAGAAUGGCAAGGUAUCUGGAGCUGAUGGACUCCCUACUGAAAUCUUCAAGCAGGGAAGAGAGAAGCUCACAUCACAGCUCCAUGCCCUCAGAGUAGCUUACGAUCCAUUUGGUAGUUUAGCUCCACUCUGACUAGAAGCUUGUUGGUACCCUCAAGGAUUUAGAAUGAUGAGGAAAUCCUAGAUGACCUAAGGGACACUAUGAUUGUGACAGUCUUCAAGAAAGGAGACAAGUCCAGCUGUGGAAAUUAAAGAUAUAGCCUUGCUGUCCACCACAAGUAAGUUCAUUGCAAGAACCUUCCUGAACCAUCUCCUUGCACUUGCUGAAGAGCUCGUCUCAGAGUCUCAAUGUGGGUUUAGGACAUCAAGAGGCACAAUUGGCAUGAUCUUCUUAUCUUUCCAGCUACAGGAAAAAUGCGGGGAACAAUAUAAACCUCUGUACAUGGCCUUCUUUGACCUCACAAAAGUCUUUGACUGUUAACUGAGAAGUACGGUGGAGGAUCCUUCUGAAGUAUGGAUGCCCACCAAAAUUCAUCACCAUUCUUUGCCUGCUCAUGACAGUAUGUGAGUGGUGGUUCUCAAUAAUCACCUAUCACUGAUCCUUUUGAAGUUAACAAGGAAUUUAAGCAAGGCUGUGCCAUUGCUCUAACACUCUUUUUGAUAUUCUUUACUGCAGUGCUACAUUUCACCACCAACAAGCUUCUAGUCAGAGUGGAGCUAACCUACCAAAUGGAUGGUAGGCUAUUUAAUCUCAGCUGACUCUGAGCCAAAACCAAGACCACCACAACCUCAAUCAUCAAGCAUGAGGUGCUGAUGAUGCUGUAGUCUAUGUUCAUUCAGAAUCAGACCUUCAGGCAAUCAUCAUCAUCUUUACUGAGGCAUACAAGAAAAUGGGGCAGAUGCUUAACAUUCAGAAGACUAAGGUCCUCCUUCAACAAGCUCUUAAUGAGCAGUCACCAGCUCCAAUAAUUCAGGUUCAUGGUGAGACUGGAGAAAGUUGAGUAUUUAUUGUACUAUCUUUCGCAGAAGGCUGACAUUGACAAAGGACUUCAACAUUGCCUCAAAUGUGCAAGUGCAGCCUUCGGACACUUCAGGAAACAGGUGUUCAAAGAUCAUGACAUUAGAUCCAAAACCAAACUCAUGGUUUAUCAAGCAAUUGUGAUUCCCACCUUACUGUUUAGAGCUGAGACAUGGACAAUGUGGAGGAGACACUUCAAGUCACUGGAGAAGUACCAUCAGCCCUGCCUGUAGAAUAUUCUUUGAAUCCAAUGGGAAGAUAGAUGUGUGGGGGCCGAGGGGGAAUCGAGGAUCGGGAACCCUCGGGAACGCUAGCUGGGGUUGCGGCUGCGAUCCCGUGACGGGCAGAUGGGUACUCUCUAUCACCGGAGCGGAAUUAGGCACAGACGAGACACGUAUCAAUUGGAAAAACAGAGAUGGCUUUACUUACAUUGUAGAGUCGUAUACAGCGCAGGCAAGAAGUGACUUCACACUUCUAUCGUAGUUGCAACAAUUCUAAUCUCUAGUCCCUAAUCAAGGAGCUCUUGUAGACCGGGUAGCUCGGGUCUAACUCGGGCAUGCAACACGGAGGAUACGUCGUAAGGCUUCGUCGACGGGGAGUCGUUGGCAGGUGAUCAAGCUGCCGGAGUUCCACUCCAGGGGGAAUUGUGGAGUUCUCCCACUAGGGCAGAAACGCCCCUAACCUUUUAUACGACUAGCGAGCCAAUUGCCAGCCGCCACGUGGGAAUAAUUUAACAUCAGCCAAUCAUGUUAUGAAAAUCUGCACUUCCUCGGCGGGAACUCUAUCCCCGCCGGAACUCUUCACCAUGCCGAGAAUUCCCCUGCCUUACUGUGCCUUGUGCUGGAAAGUUCCACUGUGUCGAGGCAGUGAUCCAAAUCAGCACUGACAAGAUGAACCAAGAUUAGUGUCCUUUUGCAAGCAAACACCAUGAACACUGAUACGAUGACCAUCCAACAUCAACUUCACUGGGCUGGCCACAUCAUCUGGAUGUCUAACUCCAGAUUCCCAAAGCAAGUUUUAUUCUCCUAUCUCAGUAAAGGCGUAUGCUCAAAAGGAGGGCUGAGAAAACACUUCAAAGACGUCCUCAAGGCCAACUUGGGAAAAUGCGACUCAAUUUAUAGGAGACUAUCACCCAGGACCAGCCCAAAUGGAGAACGAGUCUGCUGCAAGGAUCUCAGUACUUUCAAACCUUGUGAUGACAAUAGGAGAUGAAAAAAACAGGAGCAGCAGAAACAGCAUCUUGCAGACUGAACCAAGAACCCACAUGGAAACAUGUGCCCAAGCUACAAAAGAGUCGAUUGGUCCUGGAUAGGCCUUGUCAGCCAUCUUCAGACAUAGAGAUAAGACAAUCAUGGAAGACAAUCAUCCUCAACUGUAGGGGAUUGCUGAAGAAGAUGGAUUGUAUCCAUAACCAAAACAACUUCCUUCAGCACCUGGGUUUUCCUUAGAGAUUCUCUCCAACAACUAACCCACACUGACUUUAUUGAGGCUAUGAGAUCACAUUGUUCUCAGCAUGGCUUGCAUUCAAGAGUUACAUUUUUCUACCUAUGGUUCACAUUCUUUUUGUUGUUUUUGUUUUCUAGCCAGACCUUGUAAAGACUUCUUCAUAUAUCUGUAUGAGAGUUGUGGGAACUUACUGCCUGCUAGCAGCCAUGUGACAUCAGUAUUUGACACAACUUUGAUGGUUAAAUUGAAGUUCAUGGUGCUAUAAUGGGAUAUGAGGAAAGGCUAAUUUGAGGAAGGCUUACUUAAGAAUGCUUAGUCCAUCUUUUUCAAUGAGAACCUCUUCCCAAGAAAGGAAAAAUCAAAUUGUUUCUCCUUCCUUGCUGUGAAGGCUAUUAUGAAACAACUAGGAAAUCACUAGUAAGUUUUUUACUGUAUCUUUAAUCCAGCAAAUCUCUCACUGAAAUCAAUAGUGUUUUGUCUCAUUCUCCUAUAUUACAUCUGUGACAAUUGGGUAAAGAAACAUCAAGUAUGUAAAUAAUCAUUAUGUUUGCCCAUUACUUUUUUCAGUAACAGAUCUUCCUGUAGUGAUUGCUGAACUCCAGCUUUCUGUAAAUUAUUUUAUGGAAGAAUCUUGGACAUUGAGGCCCUUAGUAGAACUUAUGUAAAGCUUGAAAGUGCUACACAGAGAAUAUUCCAAGCAUUUUCAUUUCAAAUUCAUUCACUCCAAGUAAUUUUCAUGUACUUGCAGCCAUUGGGGAGCCCCUGAGUUGUUGCUAGGCAAUGUGUUAUGCUGUGUGAAUGAUUACCACUGCUAAGCUAUGUCUGCAGCACCCUGAAUAUAUUGCUAAGGCAACAUGAUUCCCCACAUAUAUGCUGACCACCACCAGAUAGCACCUUGUUAUAUAGCAUGGGGGCCUGUACUUUAGAAGGCAUCUUUGUCAUUAACAUCUUUGUUAUUUUAUAUUGUCUUUGCCCUAACAGAGGAAGGUUACUGAGAAAAUAAUGCUGGAGCAUCUUCAGUCACACCCUGAGUCAGGUUUCAGACAAGGAUGUACACUGGUGUGGGGCUGUUGUUGUUAAUUGUGGUUGAUAAUCUCUUUUAUGUGAUGAACACAGGUAAUAUUCCCUUGCUAACUGAAGAAACACAGGACUGGAAGGGGCCAAGGAAUACAGUCCCCUGCAUUCCCAGGAAACCUUUUAACCAGAGUCCUUAUAACCAUCUACUCCAACCCUUCACAUACAACAGCCACAAACCAUGUAAUGAAAAUAGAAACAAAAGCACCCGACAAUGUGCCACAGGACCUGCAGCUGUGCACACGGGAGAGGGACCAGAUGACAGAUGGGAUGUGCCAUCAGGGUCACUGGCAGCUUCGGCUGGUGCCCUGCGGAUGUGCUGGCUCUGGUAGCACAGGACUCAGGACUGGACCCAGCUGCUGGACCAUCUGGUCAUGGUGGCCUGUGAUAGCCAGAACCAAAAGAGUUAAUAAGCAGUUAUAACAAAAGAAAUCUGCUUUUUGAAGAUAUCUGAAAUACAGCUUAUAAAACUGUUUUUUGUCUGUCUGGAGUAUAAUCCACAAGAAUUAUAUAUAGCUUUUAUACUAAUCUUGAAACAGCAUGACUUUUAAAAAGCAGAACUAAAGAAUAUAACCGCAGACUUAGCUAAUUUUAUAAUUUUUUUCUGCUUAGAGUCAGUCAAAUAAACUUAGGCAGGGACAUGUUAAUCUUAGACCCCAAAGUGAUGUAGUGUGAUUUGCUUAUUGGGUAAACCCAAGCUUGAGUUGUAACUUAUUGUAAUGAUUUCUAACACCUUUUAACCCCAUAGGAUAACAGCUAUAGAAUAACAUUAUAAAUGAUUAUAUAACCACACUAAGUAACCCUUGGGAAGGACGGAACAGAAGAGUCAUUGCUGUCCCAUUACCCCGGAUCUCUGUUAUUCCCUGUGUGAGCAAAGACCAGAUCCUGACAGAGGGACCUCCCCACAGUGGUACAACCCUCCGAAAGUGUAGAUCGGGGACGCCUGACUUCGCUGAAUCAACUUGAUGUGUAUCUUCUGACUGAGGGACUAUCGAUAAUUUGCUAACCAAGUGGGAACUCUUGGUUAAUUUGUCUGUUUGUUUUAUUAUCACUGCCAAUUUUAACUUGUAUUGUUAUGUUGUCUGUUUAUUAGCUUAACCUUUUACUAACUGUCAUAUGUGCAAACUAUAUUUUUUGUUGUUAUAAGUAAAAUUUAUUCUUUUUCAUAA